CCGGUUACAAUGUUCUUAACGCGUGGAAAUUAGUCUUGACCAGGAAACAUCUAUAACGGCAUGUAUUUUCUGCCGUGAUUGUAAAUCUGUUUGGAACAUGCGGUUUGUCCGUUAAUCUAGGCGCUGUUGUUCAAUUGAGUCAAUAUUAUUUGUUGGUAGAUUAGUGUGUGCAAGAGCGCUCUAUCCAUUAUUGACCAAUUCGAGCACGUAUUGGUAAAUUUCACACCGGCAAUUACGGUGAAAUCGUUCGUGGUCGCUGGAAAUUGGCAGUAUCGUUUGCGGUCGUGAGCUGAUUGACACUGCGUGAGCGGGGAAUUAUGUGAAGCAGCUUUGCUUUGUCGUUUCAUGCAUUUAAUAGGUUUACGGCGGUGGACAGAGUUUGUAAAAAAUGAAGACAAGGAGUAACAAGUACCUGCAAAAAUCAUCCAUCAGCCGGAUAUGUGCUGUCGGAGGGUUUUUCAUUAGCAUUCCCGUCUUUCUAACUGGUAUGAUAUUGUAUACAUUCAUCCAGUU